CCUGCCCAGGGAAAAGCCCGGGGGGCGGUCCCCCGCGGCACCUCACCCCCGGCCCCGCCCCCCCCCCCACGGGAGGGAAACUCCACCGGACGCGGCCUGACGACGGGACGGGCCCCGCUGCGUCUGAGAGCACGGCGGGCUCUCUCUCGGUAAUGAUCCUUCCGCAGGUUCACCUACGGAAACCUUGUUACGACUUUUACUUCCUCUAGAUAGUCAAGUUCGACCGUCUUCUCAGCGCUCCGCCAGGGCCGUGGGCCGACCCCGGCGGGGCCGAUCCGAGAGAGCGGAAGACGGGGGCCGGGCGGCAACCCGGAGGCGCCGCGCGGCCCGAGGCAACGACCACUUCCCACCAGCCGAGAGGUUCCGGAGAAGGACCGAGACCGGCAGCGGACCGCCUCACAGCACGACAACGGCCCCAAAACCAAAAGCACGGCUUGGCUUUUUCUGCACACCGGCUCGUCUUCCCCAUUCCCAACAACAGCCAGAGCACUUCUCCCCACUAGUCUGCAGGCACAAUCACCCGUUUGUUGACGAAAAAAUUACGUGCCGCACCACCGGGGGAAAUUUGAAAAUCGCGCCAAGCCCAUGGAACUCUGACCCGGAU
rnacentral:lncRNA from 1 species